rnacentral:rRNA from 1 species
GUACUCGCGAAUCNUCUAGAUUAGAGUUUGAUCCUGGCUCAGAAGCUGAACGCUGGCUGGUAANGCCUAACACAUGCAAGUCGAACGGCAGCACAGAGNGAGCUUGCUCCUUGGGUGGCGAGUGGCGGACGGGUGAGGAAUACAUCGGAAUCUACUCUGUCGUGGGGGAUAACGUAGGGAAACUUACGCUAAUACCGCAUACGACCUACGGGUGAAAGCAGGGGGAUCUUCGGACCUUGCGCGAUUGAAUGAGCCGAUGUCGGAUUAGCUAGUUGGCGGGGUAAAGGCCCACCAAGGCGACGAUCCGUAGCUGGUCUGAGAGGAUGAUCGGCCACACUGGAACUGAGACACGGUCCAGACUCCUACGGGAGGCAGCAGUGGGGAAUAUUGGACAAUGGGCGCAAGCCUGAUCCAGCCAUACCGCGUGGGUGAAGAAGGCCUUCGGGUUGUAAAGCCCUUUUGUUGGGAAAGAAAUCCAGCUGGCUAAUACCAGGUUGGGAUGACGGUACCCAAAGAAUAAGCACCGGCUAACUUCGUGCCAGCAGCCGCGGUAGUACGAAGGGUGCAAGCGU